rnacentral:lncRNA from 1 species
CGCCGAGCUUCAAUCACGGGAAUGUCACCUGGGAAUUACCAGGACUCAGACCAGAAGUGGAAAGCCUCGGUGAUCAACAAAAUGCGGUUCUCUACAAUAACCACCUACCGUGACACAGCCGAAUCUGUGAAGAUUAAGGAUCAGUGUCUCUAAAUUUGAAUCAGCUCUGAUCAGAUAGGUUUAUUAGUUCUUGUUUCAUCUUGUUAUAUAUCUACAAUGAACAUCUCUGGUACUUACUGCUCCAGUACAGCUCAAGUGUCUUUGUUUUUCAAGCGACACUAGUGUAGCUGGAGAUAUUGGGUUGUGCUAUGUUGUGUUGUAAAAAAAAUUUAAGGAAACAUUAUUGUUAUAACUUUACUGAUUUUUAUGAUAAUGGGUUUGAUGUAAUGCGGGCUAUUCUUGCUUGUCUCUAUUUUUUUCUUGAUCUAUCAAAAAAGGAAGAUGGACAUCAGGAAUUAUCAGAUGGCCUUGUGCAUCUCUUGUUCAUUAAUUGUCCGGGUAAGUUUCUCCUCUCUCUUUGUCCCCUUUUUUGCCCUUACUGCACUGUUAGCCAGUUUUAUGCAAGUCCCAAAGUUCGCAGUGCAUAAUUCCCUUGUAUUAGUUCUGGUGAAGGAUAGUCCAAACAUGUAGUUUUGUUUGAAAUGUAUCAACUUAUAAUCAAACACUUUUGCCUGUAAAGCUCAGUUGACUACUUCACAUGUCAUGUCGAGUUCAUCUUUUAGCUAUACUACCUGAGUAUUUGUUGGAAUAAGGAGUAAAGGGGACGAGGGUUUAAUGUCUCGAGAUUGUUAGAUCAAGUAGAUCCACGUACUCUUCACUCGAGUCGAAGAUCAAUUUAUCUAAAUGCAGUGCACUCAGAUGAACUCAAUUCCACACGUUCAAAACAUUUUUGUCAUGCUAUCGUGUCAUAGAAAUAUUGUGCCUAACUCUCACGGGCUGCCUAAGGUUUUUUCUCCAAAAAUUCUAAAGAUUAUGGUAAAAACAAUUUUGGACAACACUUAAAAUCAUAACAUACAGCACUAGAUUCACAAAUUCAUGUGAUUUGAUGCAGUUUCACAUACGCUUACACGGUAUACUAUACUUACUUUUUACCACGAAAAAGUAUAAAGCAAGAAGUAUUUUAUGCACGCAUUAUUGUCAUGAUUAUGUUUGCAAAUCUUACCUACAAUCAAUUGCAUGAGUAUGUGCUACUUCAUUUAUGGUACUCCAAGCUCACAAAGGUAUCAUUAAGUCGGUAGACUAACGUCAUGUUCCAGAGUACCAAAUCGAUUGGCUGUGGCUUGAUUUUACCUCUCAGUUUGUAUAAAUCAAGUAAUUUAGAGAUUAAGAUGCUCAAAUAUCAUAAUGCCAACGGGACAAGAAAAUAUUGUAGUUUCUUUACCAAAAAACAAAAUAUUGUAGUUCUCUAGUUGCUGAGUAUAAGGAACUUUCGAUCGGCAUCUAACUAACCUUCCUGAACUAAGUUAUUUUUUGUCCAGUGCACUGCAUGAAUAUACUGCGCAAUUCGUGGAGCCGUACGUGUGUGUAUUUGUAUUAUAUUAUAGUUAAAACUGUUAUACUAUUUCACACAUUCUCCAUGAAUUCUUCUUUUUCAGCUAAAAGUGGUAGCCAGUUUGGUUCUCAUCUUUUUUUUAGCGAUUUUAGUUGUCACUUAAUACAUGAUCCUCUAGACUUCCAAGCUAAAUUUGUAGUUUCCUUCCAAUAUUUAAGUUAAAAUAGAAUGAUUUAAGCACCCCUUUUCUUAGCUAUUUCUUGUUAUAGUGGUUGCCAACAAGAUAGAAAUUUUAAGGUUUUUUAUUUUUUAUUUUUUUACUACGUAUUUGAAUGGAGGGUACCUUACGUUAACACACGCAUGCAUAUUAGCCUCGAGAGGCAAUGCGAUCACUAUAUCCAAUAUUUACUAUGGUUUCAUACAUCUUGUCAUGUUUAUUCUUGUGACGAAUGGCGUUUAUGAUUGCUAUGUAUAGUUAUUGGUAAAACGUACUUAAAUUUGUGAUUCACUUUCUGUAAUUUGUCGAAUUUGACGGUUGAAUUGGUAGGUAAAAUUCUAUAGUUUGAUUAAAAAGCACAUCGUUCCAAUAUAAUAGGUUUCAUGUUUCAAGAUAGGUCUCCAAGUACAUUGGAACAGACAUUUCCCUAAUAAUGAAGGCAAUCAUAUCUUGUCGCUUGGACUUCUGGAAGUGUUUCAAUCAACUUCUUAUAACAUAAGUUGUCCUAGGCAAAAAUCCCGCCGCUUGAUAGCACGCACAUCGAAAUCUAAAUUUUUUGUCAUUAUGUAACUAGGAUAUUUCAAAAUGGGUAAGGCAUAAUGUGUUUUUUCCUUGUUGACAAUAUUCAUAAGUCGCAUGUUAUUCUUCUAAUUAUCAACCCAAUUAGACCAAGAAGAGAAAUUAAUUGACUUUAAUAAAAGAUUUGUGCCAAUAAUAUUGAAGGUCGGAUUAACGUAUAUGACGUCACAUGCUUCAAUACAAAAAUAUUAUGAGUAUUCAAUUAAGACAAAAUACUACAUCAAUCGACAUGGACAAUCUAUAAAAUAUAGGUUGCAAAUUGUAAUUAGCCCAAGAUAGUGGCUACAAACAUUUACUCAUGCAUUCGUACUUAGCAGAAGGUUUAAACUAGUCAAGUUAUUCAAGUUCGACUUGCGAAUUACUCAAUCUCAAUUCUAUUCUUUAUCAAACUUGAGUCGACUUCAGGCCUAAAAUGUUUGACUUGAGUAGCUCAUAAGCCUAGCUAAUCACGUAAUAAUACUUUACAUAUUUUUAUUACGCAUACACUUGUAAAGAUGAAUAAUUACAAAUAAUUAGACAUGUAUAUAUAUAGAGUAUUUUCACAAUCGGAGCUCGACCUCGAGCUCUAGUUGGAUUUGACUAAAAUUUUGAGUCCAGAAUAAGUGAUUCUCAAAGUCAUUGGAAAAUUUGCUGGACUGAAAGUCGAGUAUCUAGCAUAGAGCAGUCUAAUGAAACCUACACGAGCUAUACGCAUCCCAUCCACGUUCAUGAGGAAUAUACAGAUGCCAUCUCCUUGUUAUGUUGCGGUAACAUUGUUACCUCAGUGUCGUACUUUCAAUGAUAAACCAAAGUCCAUGGACACACAUGCAAAGAGUAUAGUCCACGACCUCAGCUUCUCUUUUGAUAUAUAGAUAUAGCUUGAAUGAUGGUUGAUGUAAGCGCGCUCUACAUUACUCUUUCUUUCUGUGUUUUCCUGGCCAAGUUUCAACCGUGCAUUGUGGCCGUUGGAGAAAAAGGAAAGAGUCCUUCAAAAACAGGUGGGAAAACGAGGAAGAAAGGCAGAUGGAGUGGGGAGAUCCGAGAGAGUUUGAUACGAGUGAGUAGGUGGGGAAGGGUGGUGCUGAUAAAAAGCAGAAAGGAAAUUGGAAAAGGGCAUCCCAAAAGUCUCAACCUUGUAUCUUUCUGUGGAGCCCUCCCACAGUCUCAAAUAUCUUGUAAUACUCUCUCUCUAUUUUUUACAUUGGAAAAUCAGUUCGGAACAAACCAGCAAGAAUAUAUACAUGGAAAAUGAAAGUUUAACCUCAGACUCUGUGUGCAUCUACCUGGCCUUGGUCCUAGGUGUAUGGGACUUCUAUGGUGCACUUGGAGACUAAUCUCCGGUCAUAGCCCCAUGAUAGUUUCUUCAAGUCCUUAAACAAAAUGCCACGCCACACUUUCAAGAUUAGCAGGUGAAAUUUGCUCCCAUCUGCUGCGAUGGUCGCCUCGUGUUUUGAGUAAGUAGCGAGGAUUUAUGAACGGAAGGUGUAGAAGGGGCUCUCGCAUAGCCCACAAAAGAAAGUAGUUUUUGCAUGUCUUCUCUGCACAUUUUCUGUGGCAUGCAUGGAAUUUAUCCAAGUUUAUCUGAAAGAGCAGUUCUUGUUUUUACGUUACCCCUCCGUGCAUAGUGAUGGUACUUAGAAACUUUAGCAAUCUCUCAGUGCUUGUGCAAGUAAGAGGCAUGUCACAGAAUCAUCUUUGCUCGCAGAACUAAUGAAUGCUAACAUAUACUCAUAGCCAAGAAAGAGAAGACGGGAUCACUCUAUAGAGAGAGCUACUCAACCAAUCGACUUUUUCGCAGUGGAGACGCAAUAAGCUUAACUAAUCAUAGCUCGAAAUUUACAAGGAGUCAAUGCCUUCAAGCUGGUUAAGCUUUCUAAUCACCCUUGCUAACCCAGUAAUAGUCCAUCAAAACGCAGUAGCAGCUUAAACAGGACUGACUGUAAUCUUGCAAACUAUUCAUUCGGCAGAACUCAUCAAGAAUUUCUGAAUUGUCAUCGAUAAAAUUAAGAACGGAUCAUGUGCAUACUCAUUGUAUUUUAGAUAGGCAAGAGGACCUGACUUACCUGCAAGUUGAGCAUCAGAAUUAAAUAGUAGGAAGAAGGGCACGUUCCAUACUCCAUCACCGUCCUUGACGAAAAUGGGAAAAAUCUCCAGAAUCAACAAAAUAAAAGAGAAAGAAGUUUUAUGGGAAUUGCACCGUUGAAGUGCGGGCAAAAAGCUGAGUGAUGAAGGCGAUGGAAUAGGAGAGAUUUUAGAGAAUAGCGGGGAGAUGGUUAGAUCACGAAGUCACGUGCAGUGCUUCGGCUUUUGCUGAGUG